AUAUAUGAUUUUUUUCCUUUAAAUAUGACAUUUUGCAAUUAGAUUUCACCCAUUUACCUGAAAGCUUUUAUGUGGCUACUUUAAAGUGCAUGAUCACAUUAGAGGGAACAUUGUUCAAAGAUUACUGUGGUAGUAGGUCAUUGGAUGGCAGUUGUGUAUCAGAGUAUAAUAUAAUUGUGUUCAGAAAGGUGGAGAUUUAAAUAAUUCACUAUGGAGUAAGUGAAAGUUCUAAUACGGUAAUUAGCUUCUCAUGUGGAAACUGAUGGUAGAAGUGUUCAAAGAAAUCAGUAUUUAUUAACCAAGAUCUAUUACUUCCUAUUAUAGAUAACCCCCUUGCUGAAUAUGUGGUGAUAGUAACUGGAACUGUUUAUCCCACCUUACUUGAUAAAACUUGGGGCAGUUUGAUUUUACUUAACUUGUAUGCUUAAAAAUAGUUUUACAUCUUCCAGUUAUGUUUCUGGUUCUGAUAAUGAUAAAAUAUCAUAUAUUUUACCUGAGCCAACAUUAACGUCUACAUGAUUGUCCUAUGAAAAAGGUAACUAAAUAAACCAGUCAGUUUCCCAAAUGAACUCAGAAUGGGAUGAAUUGAAUUGUGAGGGAAUUCAUUGUACAACUCAGAUGACUGUACUUGUUACUUGAUAAAAAAUUUACACAUUCAAUGUUAUUUUUAAAUAGGUGGUAGUGAUUUGUCAUGUAAUUGUCUACAGCUGUAGUCUUUCCAAUUUGAGAAGAAAAUUUGGAUUUUUUGAAUAAAGAUUAUUUUCUUGGAAGACAAAAUGUUAGUUAGGGUACAUGUAGAAGUGUCCGUGGAAGAAAAUCAUGCAUGUUUGAAAAGGCUGUGUAAUAUGAGAUAAAAACACUGCUCUCUUUCCCAUUGAAGUGGCAAAAGAAAGAUGCAUUUGAUUCUUGAGAUUCAUGCAGGGCAUAUUAGCAAUAUGUUUUAUAAAUUAAACCUACUAUGGAGCUUGGGAGGAAAAACACAUCAGAGUUAGAACUGCCAAAGUACCUUACGUGUGAUAAAUCAAACUGUCAUGUACGAUGUUGCUCUUAUGUAGAGAUGUUCAUAUUGAAAUGAAACAACUGCAGUACCAUUUGAUAUUUCUGUUAAAGGAAAUGCCUCAGUUAUGUACCUAUGUGAUAUGUUAACAAAAAAUUGAUGACUGUAAUUCUGGUAACUCAAAUGUCAUAUUGUUAACCAUGUGGAAUGUUUCAUGUUUUGCUCUGGUGGUAUCUGCUGCAGAGAGCCCACUGGAAAUACGAGCCCUCCAACUGUAAUUACAUUAAUGUUCAAAUAAAAAAUAGUUAAAUGGCAUAUGUGUAAUAACAAUUUGAACACUUGAAAAUAAAUGAAGACUUCAGUUCAUGCAGUGUUCUUUUUAAUAGAAAUUCAGCAGCACUAAAACUUCUUAAAUUGUUAUGGAAACUGCUGUUUGUUUCUUGCAACUACUGUAAUUUGGAAAUUUGAAAACAAUCAGCCUAUAUUUGGUCUGUGUUUGCGAGUGGUGGCUUGACUAGCCCAGAAGGAUAGAAGUUUUCCACCAUGGUAGAAAAACGAGUGUCAUGUAAAUGUGGAGGCAGCAGAUAAAAAUACACUUUCAAACAUGAAACAGAAGGAAAGCACCUGGUAAGUCACUACUGUUUAAGAAAAUGGCUGAUCAUGCUUUCCAGUGGAGUUUUUCUUAUCUGACGGUGAGUGUAAUGAUGGAUUAACCAUAUAUUAUCAUUGGUCAGUUAGGUCAGUAUAGGCUUCUUUAUCAAGGAUAUUUAUUUUUCAUGUGGUUGCUGUGACUGGUUUUUAUGGAGUGGAUUAACACUGUGGCCUUCAACCUAACAUUUUUUUCUUCAAGUAAUUUUGAUUAGCAAUUUAUAGGCUCAGAAACAGAUGUCUGACUCAAAGGGAAGAAAUGGAGGAGGGUCAUCAUGUCACACUGUUUCUCAUUCACUGCCAUCCACUUAGAGAUAGGAUUCAUCUUGGGCUGUAUCCCUUCUGUGUGUGGAACAGCAAUCUGAUAGGCAAUGUUUUUCCUGUUGAGUAUCAAGUCUGUAUGUUCCCUGCUGUCAAUAUUGUUAUGUAAAUAUGUGAAGACCUCUGAAGAUCUGAAAUAAAUGGUCCUGGGCUUAGUGAUGGUUUAUCAGGGAAGCUUUAAAUCAUGCUGUCUUGUGAGCACAGGGAGAUGCCAUUAGUCAUAGAGGUAGUUAAAGGCUGAGAACUAGGUGACAGCUGUUCUGUGCUUCACUGCACAAAAAUGUAUAAUUUUUUGUAAGAUCUGCUUAAUUUGGUUUUCAUUGUACUUCCUUUUUGCUUUCAUGAAUCCAUAUACUUGUCAUUGAUGGGAUGGUGAAAGAUGAUAUGGUUAAGUAAGAAAAACAUUUUAUGCCUCCUUGACCAGCAUGUCUAAUGGACUACAGUUGGUUAUCAGUUCACUUGGGUAGAAUUCAAUGAGAGAAAAACUGCUAAAGUAAAGAAAGGGAGAGUUGCCAGAGCAAUGAGAUGAAAACCAGCACAGAGUCACAUGGGCCACAUAGUGUCUCUUGCCUCAGGACUUCAGUAUUUCAGACAACAUUGAGCGUUUACUGCUGUAAAAUAUACAAAAAUUUGUGAAGAUAGAUUACUACAUAUGGCCUUGACUUGUCCUCUGUUGAGGUGGGCUCCACUCAUAUCUGUUGUUCUGAACGAGAAUGCAUUUACUUCGUUUGAAUAGUGCACAACUGGAAGAGACAUGACACUUUCAUCUAGAGCAUCUUGUCUCCAAAAGGUAAGAAAUGAUUGCCUGGACACAGACAAAUAGCUUCAAGACCUUCCAAGACGUGUACGAGUGUAGCCAGCCACUAGAUGUCAGCAUUAUGUUAUAUAUUAACAGCCAAGAUACCAAUUGGCCAUUCCUGCUUAGAAUGUGCUGGUGCCAAGUUAACUUCUGACAACAGGAGACUUGGUAACUAGUACCAAGAGGCUACAGUCUUUUGUAUUUAUGAAGUGCUCAGUGAAACCCACGUUGCUAGCAGCAUACCCGGGUGAACAUUCCUAAUAAUUUCCCACAUUUUAGUCCACAUGAAAAAGCCAUUGAUAUCUGCUAAAAAAGCCAAGAAGACAGUGAGAUUUAGUAAGAAUUUUGAAGUUCAGCUGUGUUUCCAUUCAAGCAUGGAUCGAUCGAUCAAAGAGGCAAGGGAGGUAACUCCCUGCCAACAAAAAUGCUUUUGUAUCACGGAGCUCCUCAGCAAAGCCGAAGAGCUUUUGAGUGCAGAUGGGGGCUGCAUCUAGGGAGGAAGCUGGCUAAACCGUUCUAGUGUCGCACUGAUGCAGAAAAGAUAGUCCUGUUCCUCUCUUCAUUUCUCUUCAAGUGGCUAAUGUGGCAGAGAAAUAACCCAGCAGAAACUAGUAAAUAGUUUUCUUUUGGGGUGAAGGUGGUCCCUCUCUCUUCAGAUGAAUGCCUGUCAGCACCAAGGGUGAGACUGUGCAGCUGAGAGCGGGGAGGAAGAAAGGCAGAGAGGCAACUUUUUGACAAAUGCAAGUCACUAUUUUUUUCUAAUUUGUUUGCUGUCUUUGGCCAAGAGGCACACUAGCUACCUGUCCUGUACAAGACGAUUUCCAUUCCUUCUUGUUCCUCCUGUUUUUCAUGGCUAUUCCUUCCUGUUUCUGCCUUAUCAAAGAUGCUGGGUCGAGCUCUGCAAGGGUCUUAGGCAGUUUUCUAACUUUGUGCCAGUUUUCUUGUCCUCAAGAGAGGACUAAUCCAUUGUUUCACUAAUCCAUCUCUUCCCAUUCACAUCACUCUUAAACAUUUCCUUUUUCUGUAUUUCCCACAGUAAGUGAUUUUUAGAAGUGCAAUUAACUCUUUCUGUAUUUCUAGCCUUGUAUCAUAUCUUCAUUGUGUUUUUUUGUGCAGUCAUUGCGUUUGUGUUGGCAGAUCUCUUUAUCCAUCUUGACAUAAGGGGUAUGAGAGGACUUAAGAGUUGGCUGGAACAAAUGGCAGAGGGCCUGCAACUGUAAAUCCAUUCAGACAAGUGUUCUCUGGUGAAGAACUGAAUACAACAUCAGUGCUUAACAACUAAUAAAGAAUAACAUGAUAAUAGCUCAUCUCAGACUCUACUUCAUGUCAGCAUUGAAACUACCUCUGCUGACUUGAGGGAUGCAUAAACGCCCAUUCUCUUCUUUUUUGGUAUAUUGUUAUGUUUCUCAUGUUGCAUAGGUACUACACAGUUCAUAAUUUUAAGUGGUUUAUAACAUUUUGGAUUUUAUGUUGGCUUUUGAACACUUCUGCUAGGCAGAUCUUUUGCUGAACUAUUUUAUCUAGUACCAUUAUUCAUUUGGGGUAAAUCCCACGUGAGUUUCUGGAGAAAGGAAAGAAGUUUGUCCCUGUGGCUUCCAAAUCCCUCUGUCUCAAAUGUAUCCAAGAUGAAGAAGUUUUGAAUUGUGAUUGAAUCCUAUACUCCCUGAAGCCCUUGUAUGUUUUGCAAAAUUGUUAGGUUUGGUAAAAACCAGUAAAUACCAGACAUACACUUUAUUUUGAGUUAGGAAUUUCAUAUCCUUCUGGAAUAAAAUACUUUAUUUCCCACACGUUUUAACUAUGUUAUAUUGGCGCCAUUCAUGUCACUCCACUUAAAAUUGUGUCAGCAUUCUCAUUAUUAUUUGUUUUUCAGAAGUUAUAACUUGAAUGUAAAAAUUUGGUUCCACUUAGAAGCUUGGUUUCAGACCAGAAGUAAUUACAAAAAAUAAAUACAGAUUUUUCCAUGUAAUUUGUGUUGUUGUUUCAGGAGGGGAAGGGAGAAGAAAAAAAAAUUAGCACUGAAAAAUGACUAAGUGUGCAUUAUAAUUUGUUCUACUUAGACCAAUUAAAUGAUGGGAAAAAUCAGAGUUUGUCAAUUUUGUUAAGCUGUAGUAAGCUGCAAUAUCUUUUUUUUUUUAGUUUUAUAGGUUUGUUAGGUGGAAAGAUGAAGAGAAAUAGAUCUGAAUGUGUAUGACAAGAUACAUCUAAUUCCUGCUUCUAUGGGUCUGCAGUAGAAUCCCUUUAGCAUCUUUCAAAAGCUGAGAGGAUUGGACAUAUUGAGAGUCUCCACCUCUACUCUAACAUUUAAAUCCCAUUCAUUUGAAAGUGCUUCAGCCACUGAGUUUAUUAUACCUCUUAUGUGUCUCGGAAAUUAUAAUAUAUGUACCUGGGGCACAGGAAGACAUUAUAUAGGACCAAGUUAUGGUAUAACUAAACAACUCUAAUUUUUGUGGUAGGUGCAUGGGGACCAACUGCCUGGGGAGAGCAGAUGGACAGAAGGGAGAUGAGGUGCCACAGGUGGAGCAUGUCUCAGGGGGAAUUGCAGCCAGAACAUGCUGCUUAUAGGGCUUCAAAAUAUAUCUAUUUUGUUACUGAUAACUGGUUUACUGAAGUUCCAGUGACUCUUGAGUGUUGUAGGAUCAAAGACAGAAAAAAAGCAAUACGAGUGUUUUGUUUAGAUUUGUUGAAAAAGCUCUGGAACAGUGCAGUUAAUGAACACCUUGUCAUGUAUACUUACAGAAAGCUUCAGGAAAAAGACUAGUUAUAAAAUACAAGGGGGAAGCCAGGUAAAUAUUUUGUAUGAUAGAAGUGGGAAGGAACAUUUCUUUAAUAAAUCUACUGCUAAAGGUAUUUUUUACUUUACAUUUCAGCAAGUAAGUAUUACGUGUAGUUAGGAGUUGCAACAGUGGUAAUUGCUAAGGAUAACUGGGCAAAUACCUUUACUGACCAACACAGACUUUAAGCUGAAAAAAGAUGGCUCUCUUGUUAAAGUGCAAUGUGAAAAAUAAAACAGACUCUCAUGUUUAAAACCCAAUGACUGUAGAGUGUUUUAUGCUUUCCAGCUUGUAUAGAAUUUAGGGAGAUAAAGGGAGACCUUGCACCCAGUGUGAGGUCUCAGACAGUAUUGGGUCUUUCUGAUUUUUCUAAACAUAAAGAAAUGCAAAAAAGCUCAAAUUGGCAAUCUGAGAAAUGUACCAUCCAAAAAAAAUGAUGAAUUUAAGGUUCAUCCUGAAGAAAAAUCAGAUGACAUCUGUGAAACAAAGAGCUGAGCAUUCAGGAACAUGAGUAAUAGUGGAUGGAGCUGGAGAAACCAGUGUGGAAGCGUGAUGCCUUUCUCUCCCUCAUGGAGUUCCGGAUUUGCUGUGCAUGCUUGGGUAAUUUGUUAUGUCAAGGUAGUUUCUUUGGAUUGAAGCAAGAUCUAGGAUUAACUGGUAAAUACCUAAUGAGUGCUCUAGUCUAGUAAAUACAGUGGCAAAUAACUGUACAGAAGAACCAGUCACCUGAGUUUUCAGGAUCUCCAUGAGAAGAGGUGAGGAUCUUGAGAUCAGAGGGAGGGCCAUUUAUGUGGCUUUGCUCCUGAUGAUGAGAGGCUUUAUUUGUGAUGGCAACUGGUCAAGGGAAGUGGUCCUUCCCCUUCAACUGGCAGUGCUGAAGCUCAGCUGGAAUGCUGGGUCCAGUGCUGGGCACCUAAGCAUGAGAGAAGUUGAUCUACUGAUGUAAGUCCAGUGAAGAGCCACAAAGAUGAUGAAGAGACUGGAGCAUCAUCUGUCCUGCGUGGAGAGACUGAGAGGUCUGGGUCUGCUCAGCCUGGAGCAGGAAAGCUUUAGGUGGGAUUAUUGAUACAUAUAAUCCCUGAUGAAGAGGAAUAAAGAAGUCAGAGCCAGAUUCCUCUUAGAGAAAGGAAGGACAAGAGGCAACGCGCGCACAUGUGAAAUACUGGAAAUUUUAUUUAAACAUACAAAAGCUUUUCUUCAAAGGGCAAUCCAACACUGGAAUAAGUUCUCCUGAGCCUGUAUGGUCAUGAUCCUGGUCAACCUGCUCUAUUUAAAACCAUGGAGGAGGGGGAUUGCUCUAGAUGAUAUCCAGAGGUUCCUUCCAACCACAUCCUUUUGGUGAAACAUUGACUCAUUGGGAAGUAGAUCACAGAGCUGGGGCUAGCCAAGCCCCUUACAAAAGAUUUAACAAAAAUAAACUUCCACUAAAUAUUUGGUUUCCAACAAUGUGUUUUUGAGUCAGGAAACAAACCAGUCUGACUUAUCACAGCAACUAAGAGAGUGAAAACCAGGCUCAGAAACCAUGGAGAGUCAAGGAUCCUCAGUGUCAUGGGUGUCAGUAGUUUUUUAGUCAGUAUAAGUUUAGCCUUGUGUGGGAAAUGACCUGUAAAUCCCCAAAAACAGAGCCUGAGAGAAACAGGUGUGUGAGGAAAAAAAAUGCCUGAGAGAGGUAAGGGAUGGAGGGGGGAGUGGAGGCCCUCUGAGCUGAGGAAUACCUCGAACACUCACAAGUAGUGAAAUGACAGUCACAGGGUGGAUCAUGUGGAGUUUGGGGCUGAUAAGGCUGCCUGGAUAGCACAGGGUGGGCUGGAGGAGGGAGCCCUGAGGAGACAGGAGGGCUCUGCUCUGGUGCAUCUUGUAUUUCAGGGGUCAUCUUCCCAGUGAAUGACCUUUUCUCCGUUAUCCAGGAAAUUAAUAUUAAAGUUGACACCCCAGAAUAUGCUAAUUAAUAACAUGAUCAUGCUAAUGACAUCAUCCCAUGAAGCACUUUACCCCUCCCCAUACAUGGGAUAAGCAGGUAUGCGGGUUGACCUGGGGGAUGGACCCCAAGGAAAUCACUUUCCCCCCCCAAGGAGUGAGAGAGAAAGGAAGAAUAAGACAUGAAGAAGAUGGAUUCUUCCUUGAACUCUUGCUGGUGGGAUUGAUGCAGGAACCCAGGCUGAUGAUCUCUACUUCCACCUUUCCAUCUCUCAUCUUUUUCCACUUUCUCUUAUUACUGUUAAGCAAUGCAAGGCAUACUAUUUGCCUUGCCAUACUAUUGCUUGCCAUAACUCAUUAUGUACUUAUCCAAUUAUUGUGUAUCCA